CAUAUACAUAUUGAACAAGCGAGAAGACAGGUGGAAGAUUGUACAACACCAUGUGAUUGCUCUUGUGGUAGAUGUACAAUUGCCCAAUAUUACCCUCUGGGAUUUGGUCGAGAGAAGAAUGAAUUCACUUAAGAGUAAUGCCAUCAAUUUCUGCUGAAGACUGCAUGUGUGUGGUGAAAACCUCAUAAUCAACUGUGUUGAAAGCAGCUGAAAGAUGCUGGUACUGAAUUGACUGCCUUCUCCAGUGUCUGGAAGAGAUUUGGGCAUGGAUAAAGAAACUGGCAGAGACUCAAUUCAGGCCCAAAGUGGUGCACAUGGACAGAAGGAGCCCCACGUGAUCCCGCACCUGUGACCGGGGGCUGCCCUUAACCAACCAGUCAUCCAGAUGGGGGAGAUCUGGACCCCUCGGCGCCUGAGGAGGUCCUGCAAGUAGGUCUGCGCCUUGCUGGAUAGCCCAGAGAGCAGGAGCCACGACACCCUUCACAUGGACACAGCAGAGGCCAUAGACCGUGCGGCUGUGUCAGCUGCAUCCGAAUCUGCCUGCAGGGUUGCCCUGGCGGCCGCUAUACCCUCCUCCACCAGCACUUUGAACUCCUUCCUGUCACGCUCCUGGAGGGAUUGGAGGGAUUGAACUCAUACCGGCCCAGGAGGGCCUGGUGGUUCGCCACCCAUAACUGGAAGCUC